rnacentral:rRNA from 1 species
AUUGAACGCUGGCGGCAUGCUUUACACAUGCAAGUCGGACGGCAGCACAGAGAAGCUUGCUUCUUGGGUGGCGAGUGGCGAACGGGUGAGUAACAUAUCGGAACGUACCGAGCAGUGGGGGAUAACUAAUCGAAAGAUUAGCUAAUACCGCAUAUAUUCUGAGGAAGAAAGCAGGGGACCAUUUGGCCUUGCGCUGUUUGAGCGGCCGAUAUCUGAUUAGCUAGUUGGUGGGGUAAAGGCCUACCAAGGCGACGAUCAGUAGCGGGUCUGAGAGGAUGAUCCGCCACACUGGGACUGAGACACGGCCCAGACUCCUACGGGAGGCAGCAGUGGGGAAUUUUGGACAAUGGGCGCAAGCCUGAUCCAGCCAUGCCGCGUGUCUGAAGAAGGCCUUCGGGUUGUAAAGGACUUUUGUCAGGGAAGAAAAGGGCGGGGUUAAUACCCCUGUCUGAUGACGUACCUGAAGAAUAAGCACCGCA